rnacentral:rRNA from 1 species
CCGCCUGAGGCGCUAAGGUAGCAUAGUAAUUUGUUUCCUAAUAAGAUAAUAGUAUGAAUGAAUACCCCCCUGACAAAUUUUGUUAUAGAGGGAGUCGCCAACAUUAAAAUUUUGCUGAAAAUUUCGGAAUCUAAAACUUAGACGAUAAGACCCUAUGCAGCUUGAUCAAGAGGGGUAAAAACUUUCAUGGUGUUUCCCUAGUGAUUUAAUUGGGGCAAUGGCUAAUAGAAAUAUUAUGACACUCUUUAAUCUUGUAGAUCCNAAAAGGACCUUAUGAAUAAGCUACUCUAGGGAUAACAGCACUAUAGUUAAAAAAGUUCUUAUUAGAAUAACUGCUUGUGACCUCGAUGUUGAAUUAAAAUCCCCGCAUGUUCAGCCGCUUGUGGUGGUUUAGUCUG